rnacentral:lncRNA from 1 species
UCUGGUCGUCAGUGAAGCCUCGUACUUCUGUUACCCUGUCCACAUGUGAAGGAGGGAUCUGAUUGGCUGCUGCAGGUCGAGAAGUUAUCCAGAUGAGAGCUGAGGGGAGCAGGUUCCCCUUGAUGAGGUUUGUUAUCAGAACGUUCAGUGAAGACUUCUGUGUGACGUCAGACACCACCUCAGAGUCUGUGAAAUCCAGAGACAGUCUGCUUUCAUCCAGACCGUCAAAGAUGAACAGAAGUUUACAGACAGCCAGCGUCUCUGCUGUGACCUUCUCUAGGGUUGGAUGGAAAACAUGGAGCAGACUCAGAAGACUGAAGCGCUCAUCUCUGAUCAGGUUCAGCUCCCUGAAUGAAAGCAGGACCACCAGAUGGAGGUCUUGGUUCUCCAAACCCUCUGCCCAGUCCAGAGUGAACUUCUGCACUGAGAAGGUUUUUCCAACACCAGCCACGCCGUUGGUCAGAACCACUCUGAUGAGCUUCUUCUGUUGGUCAGGUAAGGUUUUAAAGAUCUCAUGACACCUGAUGGGCGUGUCAUGGAGGGUCUUCAUCUUUGAAGUAGUCUCCAGCUGUCUCACCUCAUGUUGGGUGUUCACCUCUUCACUCAGUCCCUCUGUGAUGUAGAGCUCAGUGAAGAUCCUGUUGAGGAGGGUUUGACUACUUCCUGUUACAUCACUUCCUUCAUUCACACGUUCACAUCUCCUCUUCAGACUUAUCUUAUGUUCAUCUAAAACCUCCUGCGGGAGGCCAUCUUCUGAAAGAGAAGAAAAAUAAAAUGAACCAAACUUCUCAACACUGAAACGUCUUUGUGAAAAUCAGUCAGCUGAGUUUUCAUCCACACAGACUUUUCCUCACAGUCCGUCGGCGCCGACACCUUUAUACAGGCGCUCUUUAAAUUACCGUAACUUUGGGAUAGUUUGUUCUAUCAAAAAAAAAUCUCCAACGGUUUCUGAAAAGUGAGAAGUUGCGCCACACGGCCAAUAAACGGUUAUUACGGUAAUUUCACUCCUGCUGUUUAGAGAGGAAAUCUGUCUCUCCGUCCCCUCUCCCCCUCACAAAGAAAGCAGUAGAUAGACAAACAACAGAGCAGAGAAACGGAGCAAAAAGAGAGAAAAAUUACCAAAAAAAAAGUGAUUAUUUCAGAGGAAAAUGUCUGUGAUAAAUCCUUCCUGAGUGAGAAAACCUCCACUGAGGUUUACAGACGACUUUGGGACCGAUGGAGAAGCUUUCAGAGAAACUUCAGACAGAGAAAGGUAAAGUUUGACUGGUUGAUUUUCUGAGUGGGUUUCUGGAUGAAUGAAGGGCUCUCUGUUAACCUGCACUGAUCUUCCCUCUUUUAGUGAAUGUUAGUAGAAUGGCUUCUGUCUGUCUUAGAGAUAUUUUUAGUUUUUAUUGUUCUGCUGGGACGUUAUUGUGGAAACAGAUGAAAGACACUGCCGACACAGAACAGGUGUUAGGUGACGUCAUCCUUUUUGUUACCGAAAUAAUUACAGAUAAGUGACGUGGCUUUUCUUUUAAUCAACGAAUAUUCAUCUUCAAUGGUAAGUGACGUUGCUUUUCUUUUAAUCAACGAGUAUUCGUCUUCAAUGGUAAGUGACGUUGCUUUUCUUUUUACUAAAAAGUUUUCAUCUUCGGCGGUUUUCUCUUGUUGGUUUCUCAUUUGCAGCCGUUGAUGUGUUGCCGAGAAACACAUGCCCCCCGAGAAUUACAUCCACUUGGCAGAAAUGCUCACCGUUUAUAGUAGAGUAUAGCUACGUGCCCAAACAAGCCAUGGGCAGAUGAAGUCUAAAAGAACUAGCAUGAGGAGACGACGCUGCAAACUUUGUCAUAAGGAGAACUGUCUGGAAGUGUGAGGGGUGUGAUGUGGGUCUGUGUCUGCAGACAGAAAGGAACAGCUUCUGACAGUUUCACAAAGACCUCUGAGUGAGAGAGGAGAAACGCCUGGACACAGUUGUAUUUAGUUAGCCUGUUUUUGCACUUGGAGAGACAGCACUCCAAAGUUUUUGCUGUAAAUAUGUUUGAUACUCUUUAAUUUUUUUAUUUCAAAUGAACAAUCUGUUUUUCAUGAAUAUUUUCUGUUUUUUUCUCAUUAAAACUCAAAAAAAAUUGUAUUCCGUUUUUGUGUUUUUCUUUAUCUUACAAUGUUAAAGCACUCUUUUAACAGACAGUAAAUCGUAAAUGACAGCCAGAUAUUGAAAGUUUUAAGUGCUCUGGAAAAAUGGGUAAAACUCAACUUUAUUUGUAAAGCACUUUAAAACAACCACAGCCAACCAAAGUGCUGUAUAUAAAUAGACAAAAAAGCAUAGACAUAAAAAAAAAAAAAAAAACAUAAAACACUAAAACAGGAGCCGAGUCUCAUGCAGGGUUGAAAGCCAAUGAAUAAAAAAGCACUCACUCAUAGGACAUUUUCUGCCAAUUUUAUGGCUAAAAUAAGCAAAAUAAUUCAGGCAGAAAUUGUAUAAUUUAGGGUUUAAAGGUGUUCAGACUUACUUCGAUCAGAGCUGGACUGGCUGUCUGUCUGAAGAACAAGAACUGUUCUGGUUCUUUUUCCACACUGAGGACAGGAGGUGUGUCCUGAAGAAGUAGACUGGUCCCUGAAUGAGGCGAGGCACUGUCUGCAGAACCUGUGUCCACAGCGGGUAGAGACUGGAUCCUUCAGGACAUCCUGACAUAAAGAACAUUUGGACAGCUGCUCCUCCACAGAGUCACAUCUCUGUGUCUCUCUGUGGAAAUAAAGAACAUUUAUUUUCUUUAUUAUUUCAUGUUUGAAAGAUACAGAAUAAGAAACAUUUAUUAAACCAGAGUUUCUCUUUUCUCUAACAUAAAACAAUCUCCUGUAAAAUAUUCAGCUGCUGCUGCCUGAAAGUGUCGUGACAAGAGAAAAAACUAAACUGUGAUUUUUGAAGGUAGAGAGAUUUUCUCUGACAGUUUAAAACUUUUUUUUUGACCAAUCAGAUCUAAAGGUCUAAUAACAGACAGAUGCUCUGAAUUAUGUUUUUAUUUUUCAGGAUUUAUUUCUUCAUUGGUCUUCUGGUAUUUUGUGACCCACAGACUGUUUUCUGGGGUCUAUACACCACAGUCCAAAGACUAACAGGCUCAAAACGUCCCAAACACAGGAACCAAAUCAGAAAAUACAAGAAGUCAGAAUCCUUUUCAAAUGCUGUUUUAUACGACCUUCAUUUUUAUCAACAUCAAGAAUAAUAAGUAAAUCUGUGCUCAGUGAGUUUUUCUUUACCAGCCUUUUAUCCAUUACAAGAUCAUCUUUCUAUCAUCUCAAAAAUAUCUCCAAACUGAGGGGCUUUCUGUCAAAAUCAGACUUAGAAAAAUUCAUCCAUGCAUUUAUAAGAAGUAAACUGGAUUACUGUAACAGUUUAUUCACUGGACUCCCAAAAUCAAGUCUUCAGAGGUUACAGUUAAUUCAAAAUGCAGCUGCAUGAAUUCUCACUGGUACCAAAAAAUAUCAACACAUCACACCCGUUCUCAAAUCUGUACAUUGGUUACCCGUUAGGACAAGAAUCGAUUUCAAAAUACUCCUCCUGGUUUACAAAGCACUACAUGGCCUUGCACCUCAGUACAUCACAGAUAUGCUCAUCACCUACACCCCAGCAAGAACACUUCGGUCAACAGGCAGUGGCAACUUACUCAUCCCUCACACCAGAUCCAAAUAAGGGGAGGCAGCUUUGAGUGUUUAUGCCCCACAAAAAUGGAACACCCUGCCUGACACAGUUAGACACAUCAGUAGCCAUCUUUAAAAACAGAUUUCUGUAGCAUUCGCGGUGAAGUUGGUUGACUUGCACUUACACUCUUAAAUUGAUUUCUAAUAGAUUUUUGUAUAACUGUUUUUAACUAUGUACACCUGUUGUGAAGAACAUUGAGUCUGCCUUUUGCAUGAAAUGGGCUUUAUAAAUAAAGUUGGAUUGAAUUGAAUUUUAUCCAGGUUGGCAGGUUCAAGAGGAAAAUCAGUGUUUUGAGAACAGAGGAGAAAACAGAGGGGUCAGGAUUUAAAGUUUUGUAUUUGAAACGUCAGAGGUUGUUUGAGAGUUUGGUGAUUGAAAAGUGUUUCUCUUACUGUGAAUCUGAGGGUCCUGGUUCUUCACUGAAUUUUGGUGGAGGAUCUUUAGACCGGUCACUCUUCAUAGACAGACAGCUGGAGAUAACAGACUUUGUUCUGUCCUGCUCUGGGGGUCCUGGUUCUUUACUGAAGUUUAUAUCAAAACCUUUAGACCGGUCACUCUUCAUAGACAGACAGUCAAACAUAUCAGACUCUGCUCUGCCCUCCUCUUCCUCGACACCAACACUCAUCUUCUCCAUCUUCUGUUGUGCAAAUUUAUGGAGGCUGAAACCGAGUUAUACAACCUGAGGACAAAGAAGACAAACAGGUGAGACACAAACAGGAAGAGAGAGUUCAGAAAUAAAAGAGGAAUCAGAAAGGAAGUACAGAGUCUAAAAACAGCUUCAUCCCCCUCUUUAAGAGUUAUACAGGUUUAAUAUCCAAGAACUUCUGAUGUCUCCCCACCCUGCAGGGCCUCUCUCUGAUCCUUGUCUGAUUCAUGGUCAAAACAAAAUCAGCUGUGAGGUCCCUGAACUCUCAGAAAAAAACUUAAGGAGACUGGAUUAAAUUUGAAAUGAGACGCUAAAAAGAUUCUGAUUCAUAUUUUUACCAAAAAGACAAGUCUAAACAAAGAGGAGGAAGAACUGCAGUUACACAGUUUCCUGUAUGAAGAACUGAUCCAGCUCUUUGUCUGCUCAGGUUUCUUUGUUUUACAGUUUUUAAGUGUUUUAGUCAGUAAAUCAUUUUUUCAUUAACAGAUAAAACAGAUAAAGAGUUUGACAUUAAAACUAAAACAGAGUAAACACUCACCCUGUCUCCUCGUCCUCUCCUCUCUCUUCUUUUCUCAAAAUGGAGUCUGUUUUUCAGCUCACAUACUUUCACUUUCACUCUGACUGUUUUCACUGAAACCUAAACCACCAGAUCACAGAUUCUUCUCCUCAUUUACUGACCGUUAUUCAUCAUCUUUUAAGUUCAGUAUUCUUGACAACCAUCUUCCUCUCCUGAGUCCAAAUUCAAAGUUCACUAAAACAGGAACUUGUUUGUUUGGUUGAGUCUCAGUUUAUUGUUAAUGCAGCAGCUCCACCUGCUGGUCAAACCAACAAACUUCAGAUGAGCGCUCCUCUUCUCAUACCCCAAUAAAUGUGAAGAUUUGGUUGAACAGGUUUUUAUUUUUGCACACAGUGUGAUUGUGUUGUCACUACACAAACUGCUCCUUCACCUCACUUUACAAAGAUCACUGUCCAACAUAUAUUUAGUUAGAUGUUGAAGUGAUAACACAAGUUCACGUUGUAUGCUUUAGGUAUCUCUGUCCUGUUAUCUGGGGCUCAGAAAUAAAGGUCGGCAAACCCGGACGUGUUUGUUUUUUUUUUUUCGUGGGAUGGUAGGGGAAGGUCCCACCCUCCUUCGCAUCUGAUUGGCUAGAAGUGCUAGGCUCCGAUUGGUUAUUCCUUAUGGCUGUGAAACGUCAUAGCAAACAUGAACCCCCUAAUAACUUUUAAAAAUUGAGCUGUACAGAAAAAAGAGGACUUGAGCACAAACCAGUCUGACAAUAACUACAUGUCAACAUCACAACCAGGAGGGAGAAAAAAUUAUGUUCUGUGUAAUAAAUUUCUAAAGUUCGUCCACAGCUCCAUAAGCUUUGCUGGCGCAGGCGGGAUUUAUGACCUAUACUGCAGCCCAUCAACAGAGGGUGCUGUUCUCAGAGUGGCUUCACCCAGCGAGGAGGCAGACUCUGUCCAUUCUAUAUACAGUCUCUGGUUUUUCUUCUUUUGCUUUAGUAACCCCUUUUCAGAUUUCUGGAUCAAAGUACCCCCGAUAAAAGACGACCACCUGUUGCUUAGAAAACUAAAUCUAGGAUAUCGUUGAUGUCAUGCAGAAAUCUAUCUUUAUAUUUUACCUUUUUUUGUUAGAUGUGUGGAUUUGUCCUCCACAUACUUUAAAUGAACAAUAACACACCUUAGAGAGAAUAUCACAAAUGAAAACACAGGAAACAACUGUGCUGCACCCUGAUGAGAAAACCUUCCUCUACUUUUCAGACUCACUUUGAGGACUUUUUAAAGACCAAAUCUAGUUUCUGUUUGAAUGAAAAAUAAUAAUAAUCAAUUGCACACAGUGAAUGAAACGAGCCGAGUUGACGUUUUUAACAUGUUUUGGUUCAAAUAAAGUUUUUAUUAUCUUUAAAUGACAUUGUUACAGUGAAAUGAAAUAAAAAAUGAUCUGGUGUAAAUGAAGAACCAACAUAGUGUUACACAGACAGAGCACAGAUCUAUUGAUAGUAGAUUAGCUGAAGAGGACAAAUCUGUUCACAAUAGUUCUAUGUUUAAUGUUUCUGUGGUGUGAGCAGACUGUGACAUGAGCUGUAGCAUCAGUUUAUGAAGCUGAGAUUGUAAUCAACAACACUGAGUUUAUAAAACAGCAUCGACCACGUUAGUGACUUCACCCUGAAUAGAUGCUGAUCUCACUUUUUCCAGACUCCAGUCAAUACGGUUAUUUUUGUCUGUCAGAGGAAAACUUCUCCAUCAUAAUAAAGUAAAAAUAAUGUUUUUGUUUUUGUUCAAGAAUCUUUCUUUUGACUGAUUAUAUUUCACACAUUUUAAUUUUACUCUCAGGUCUCAUUUAUGGUUUAAUAAUUGUAUUUGUUCAAACUGGAGGGAAUCGAUUAUUGAUGAGCACAAAGAUGAUAUGAGAACAAAAACAUGUAAAGAGACGGAAAAUAGUGUCUAAUAAUAUUAAAUAAAAUAAAUUUACCUCCAGUCAAUAUUUACCAUAAUUUCAGAAAAUGAAGAAGAAAACGGAUGAAUAAAAAUAAUCAAGUGAAAGAAUAAAGCUUCAGAUUUUUGUUAAAACCCCAAACCCUGUCCUCCUCCUCCUCCCUUCACCUCCAUCUCUCCUCACUUCUCUUCCUCUCCCUUCAGUUUAUAUUCGGUCUCUAACGGUGCAGAGGAAAGAAAAAACCUUUGGGUUUUAUCUGAACUUCUGAGUGAUCUACUCUCACACAUGGUAUCAACUCCUGCUACAGAAAUAUGAGGGAAUAAAUCAACUCCACCUCUUUAUAUUUCCACUGGGUGGCGCUGUAUCAUGGUAAAAAAAAGUAAUCCAAUCAAAGUGUAAAUUUAUGAUCAUGUUUCCAUCAACAAAACAAACCUGUUCAGACUGUUUGAUCCCAGAGUAUGAGGGAAAAUAUCAAAUAUCCAGAGUCCAGGUCCUGAGCUGAUCUCAGAGCAGGUCAAAGUGCAGCUCCCAGAGUCCUCUCCGCCCGCUGUGAUUGGUCAGUCAGUCUCUCAGUCAGAGACUCACCUCACCCUCACUGCUGCUGCCUCCACCUCUCUGAUCGUCAGGAAACACACGAUCCUCUUCUUAAUCACUCUGACGGAUGUUAUCACCAUCUGAGGAGAGAAAAAAAGACGAUCAGUGUUUCCACUCUGAGACUCACUUCAUCAGCUGGACUGAAGAACAUCCAGUUUACAGACCAGCAGGUCUCAGUCCUGCUCAGACCAGAAGUGAUGGUGUAAAGCAGCAGGUUUCCUCACAAAUAAACCAACAUCAUCAAAAUAAAGAAAUCAUUCCUGUCAAAUGUGUUAAAGCUGAUCGAACAAACCUGCUGUGAAAAUAACAAGUAUAAAGAACAGCUGUCUGUUUUCAGACUUAGAGCUCAAAAUCAACAAGUUAGCAGAGAAAUAAAGUCUGUGUUGAAUACAGAGAACUAUAAACUGGACUUCAGAGCAGAAACUGAACAUUUCUGUUUCAUUAUGUCUCAUUUCUACAUUUGAUCUGAAAUAUAGAGACGAGGAGACACUUUUUUCAUCACUGACACUCUUACACUCCUGGUUUGAUGAUUUCUGUUCUCACAGCUUCACUAAAGAGAUAAUCCUCUGAGAGGGUCGAAGAGUCAGCAGGAAAUACUGAAUAUCUGCUGUGAUACUGUGUGGAGAGGAACAGGAGAGAUCAGCACAGACUAACUCCAACUCUAGACUGACAGCAGAUACUCCAGUAUGUAGUCUGGACUCUUCUGAAGAUCACACAGCAGCUUCUCUCCUGAAUCUUGCAGAUUGUUUUCAGUCAGGUCCAGAUGUCUCAGAUGGGAGGGGUUGGACUUCAGAGCUGAGGCCAGAGAAGAACAGCUGAUCUUCGUCAAACUGCAGCGCCACAACCUAAAUAAAGAGGAAAUAAUGAGAUUUUAGACAAAAAUGAUCCAGUUUGAAACCUGAUGUCUUAAAUCUGUAGAGUUCAGGGGAAAGGUUUGGAAAGUCUGAAUCAAAGAAAAGUGACGCUCCAAAGAGCUGAACCAAACAGGAAGUCAGUUUGAAACAGUGAAUUCAAAAACACAUUAAAUAGUGAAAUAAAAAACUCAGAGACUUUUUUACUGAUUGUAGAUGCAGAUAAAAAAUAUCACGUGUUUGGGAGGUAAAUAUUUCAGUCUAAACACAGCAAGGCUUCAGAAAAGUGCAGAUAAACCAGAAAAUUCAGAUUUUUACACAAAGAUUCAAAAACAAAAUUCAAAGUAACAGAGCUGGACUUUCAUCAGAGUCAGAAACUAAACUCUGAGUUUUUUCUAUUCCCUGAUCUUGUCCUGAACAAAAGUUUGAAUGGUUCUCAUCUGACAAAUCUCCCCCUGCUUCUGUUUUCUGUCUGAAUGUGCUUCUCACUAUGAACUCUACAAAGAGUUUUCCUCUUGGGUUCAGGUUUUAAUUCACUGGAGCUCAGCAGUGAUCUAACUGGAGUCAAUCAAAUAAUCCACUGAUGCAGAAAAUCUACUCUGGACUGAAGGUGUUCAGUCUGGGUCAGUAUUUCAGUCCUGAGUCAGCAGUUUAGUGUCAUCAUCACAAACAAAUCAUGAUCAUGUUUGAAUGGAGGGAAAAAGUCUCACUCUAGAGUCUCCAGUUUACAGUUUGGACUCUGCAGAAAGUCACACAGAAGCUUCACUCCUGAAUCCUGCAGAUCGUUUAAGCUCAGGUCCAGAUGUCUCAGAUGGGAGGGGUUGGACUUCAGAGCUGAGGCCAGAGAAGAACAGCUGAUCUCUGACAAACUGCAUUUAUACAAUCUGAAAAAAGGAAAGAGAAUGAAGAUAAAAAUAAUUAAUAAUCAAACUUCAGGUGUUCAGGUUUAAAAUAUGGAGCUUAGAGAACUCCAACAGGAGACCUUUGGACCAGAUCCAGUCUGUCAGAGCUCAUGAUCUGGUCUGCUCUGACCCUCCAUGUAAAAUAACAGACAAGACAUCAAAUGUGAUGGAGCACUGGUUUGGAUUAGAGGUUCAGGUGAUCAGAAGGUGGAGUCCUUGUUGCAGCAGUUGCUGGUUGGACUCCCAUGAUCCUUUGCUGUAAGUCCUCCCUCACUCUCUACUCCUCGUUUCCUGUUCCUCUUCAGCGCUCGGAUCAAUCAAAGUCUUCAAAAUGAACUUGAACUGUGACAUGGAGGAAACAGGAGGAUCUUUGUCUGCCUUCAUCCCUCACUGUACACUGAUCUUCAACAAGAACACUCAACCCAGAAUAACAGACUGUGUUGUCUCUACUGUCAGAACUGGACCAGACCAGCCAGCAAUCCUCCAGAUCUGAGUUCAUGGAAGUCAGUGACAAACCAGAAAUACUCUCAACCAAGAAGAGCUCAGAGAGAGUCACCCAGGACACUGAGCCCACCUCCCUCAACCAGGCUGGUCUUAAGAGUUUGUAUUGAGCAGAUCCAGCCCAUGUGAAGCUGAACCUGAAUGUGCUCUCAGACUGUAACAUCAGCGCUCUGCCAAACAGAGAAUGGAUGAGACUCUGAUGAGACAGGUCAGCUGACUCUGUCUGCAACAACAUCACCUUUACUGCUUUACUCUUCUCCCUCACCUUCAUCAGGAUCAACAAGGUCAGAGAGCAGACAGAUCCACUCUUCCUCUCACUUUGUCAUUGAUUCACUGAUGGCUGAGUUCACUCACAUUUCAUUUAGUCCACUCUCUAAUCGGGUUUUUACUGCAGGAACCUUUCAAACCAUAUGAGCAGUUAUUGAGCUGCAGAAAAGAGGCAGUGGAGCCAAAACAGGAACCUGAUCAAUCUGAUCAUUGAAUAUUGAUCAGGAGAAAAAUCAAAAUGGUUCAAAUAAUAUUGAGAAGAAGAAAAUCUGAGAGUUUGGUUCUUUAACUUAUUUGGUUCAAUCAUAAAAGUGACGAAGAAAACUUUGUUUUUGUGACUUCAGUCAUCACAGCAAAGAGACGAAGAAGAAAAUCUCUGUUAGUCUGUGUGUCUGUGUCUCUGUGUGUCUGUAUUUGUGUGUCUGUGUCUGUGUCUCUCUGUCUGUGUCUCUCUGUCUGUGUUUGUCUGUCUGUCAGUGUAGAUUCAGGCGUCUGUGUUUCUCACUGUCAGAGCAGAUCUUUCUCGUUUCCUCCUCAUGAAAACUCAAACCUCAUGUUCUGACCGAUUAAACUCAUUUGAUGAAAAAGUGAAUUUUUUUCAGAUUUGGUUUGUUUGGUGUUUUUUUGUGACUCUGAAUUUAUGAAGCAUCAUUAUUACUUUAAUAACUGUGAUGAAAACAAUGAUGCUAGCUGAAGAAACAACAACAAGGAAACUGGGAGCCCAAGUUUAGUCCAUGACUUUAUCCUCAUUAUUGUAAUGUGUCAAAAAGACUAAUAAACACCUGUCACAGUCUGAAAAAAGAAAAAAAUCAUGGAACCUCUGAAGAAACUGUUCCUGUUUUUAAUGAUUCAAUGUUCUUGAGCCCCUGAAGGACACGGAAGAAGAACUUUUUCAGAGUUGAUCUUCAGGAACUUUGUAAAAUCUUCUCUAAACUUUUUGAAGAUCCUGAGGAAUUUAUCAGUCAAGAAAAUUUUAAAGAAACAGAAAACUUUAGUGAGAUCCUGAGAAACUCAUGUGAGAAAUCUCAAAGGUUCUUUUGUAGUCCUGAAUUCUUCAUGAAGAUGAAAACAGUCAGGAGUUUAUUCAGGGGUCUGUCCGUCUGCUGUCAACAACUGCCAAACUACUCUUAAAUAAACCAACAGAUCAUUGAUCAGAGAGGUUUUUAUGGACCAACUGGACAAGAUGAUGUUCAUGUUCAACAAACUGAAGUGAAAACUGCAGACAAAUCUGGAUCUGGUUUUUACAUUUGAACACGACUGAGCAAAGAAGAAAUUCAAGUUUUCAAGAGUUUCCAAAUGAAAUAUCCAGAGUUGGAUUAACUUUGUUCUUCAGGUUUCAAUCUGCAGCUCCUCAUUUCUCUGACACUUCAUUCAUUCAUUAGUGAUCACAUUAACUGUGGAUCAGUUCAGUAUCAGUCUUUAGUCUGUGCUGCUCCUGCCCUCUACAAGCAUGUGUAAUAUUUGUGGACUGAUUUUCUCCUGCUUCCUUUCUACAUCCAUCGUUCUCCUCAAAGUCAACUCUGAAAUGUCGGAUUUUUCUUCCUGUGUUGAAGUUUUACAACGACAAAUUCAAACUGCUCGACCAAAGUUGAUGGAAAAACCACAGAGAAAAAUCUAAGGCAGCAGCUGUCACAUCUUAUUGUUAGAUCAGAAGGAAAUGGUGUCUCACCUCAGAGUCUCCAGUCUGCAGUUUGGACUCUCCAGUCCUGCAGAGAGAAGCUUCACCCCUGAAUCCUUCAGCUCGUUGUUACUCAGGUCCAGAUAUCUCAGAUGGGAGGGGUUGGACUUCAGAGCUGAGGCCACAACUUCACAGUGAGUCUCUGAGAGUCCACAGAGAGAAAAUCUGUAACAACAUAAAUAUCAACAAUAUUUCAUUAAAGGGUAAUUUGAUGUUUCUCCUCACCAAAAACAAACAUGAUCUUUGGUUUGACAGACGGCCUGUUUUUAACCAGACAGAUACUAAUAUCAGGACCACAGCCAUGAGAGAAGACAGGAAGUCAAAGUUUAGAAGAAAAAAAAAACUGUUUUGAUGUUCAAGACAAAUGACUCCAUGACUUAUUUUAGUCAUUCUGUUCUCUAACAGUGUUGUCUUCAUGUUAGUGCAGCUGGAUCAUUAUGAUUGAGUGAAUUCUUGAGUUCUGGUUGGAGAAGGGGACUGAGAACCAGGUUUUUGGUCCUGGUAUGUGAUUGGUCAGUAUCCAAAGUACCUCUUGGAGAAUCAGUGCUCCUCUCAGUGUUUAAUGUUGACAUCCUGCUGUAAUGUAAGUCUUUCCAUAGACACUGACUGUUGACCAAUCAGAGGACGACUCACUAAAUCACAGCAGCUCCUGUUUCUCUGAUUGGUUCAGAUAAAAACAUUUUUUAGCAGGUUAGAGCUGGUUUGACUCUGAACAUUUGAAGAAUUCAAAAUUUCUUUGUUUUCACAAUGAAAGUUUUUUCUCCAUGUAACUCUAGGGGGCGUACAUUCCCAUGAUUCCUAUAAAAAUAACAUUGAAUUUUUCUAGUUUGUGUGUUUGAUGCAGAAAGAAACAUCUGGAGUCAGAAGAAAUAAAAGAGAUUCAUCUUUGAACAUGUUUUCUUCUCUUUUUUAAAUGUUUGCACUAAAUCAUGAAGUGAGGUAUCAAUAAUGAGUCCUGAUAAUACCAACAUGGAGGAUCAAUAUGGGUACCUGUAUUAAUUCAACCUAAUCACAGCCAUGCUAGUUAUGACCAAAAACAGACUUUUCUGCUCCCUAAAAGAGUCCUUGUUAGUCCUUUAGACCUGGUUCAGUCUCUCAGACUCAGACCUGGAUCAAACCCCAGUCUGCUGCAGUGUUUGUUUACAGGCUGUUUCAGCAGAAGGCAGCAGUCUGACCAAUUUACAUCAACAUCUGAAACAGAGGCGUGCAGCCGAGUUACAGCCCACCAACAUCUCAACAUGAGAGGAAUCAUCUUCACUCUGCAUCACCAUGACAACAAAGGGACAACAUGGAAAACUGAUGAUGAUGAUGAUGAUGAUGAUGCAGUCACACUGCUUCUCCUUAGAGACAUGGUGUCCAUAUAUACAGUGGAAGAGCACGGCUGUUUUCACAUGCUAUGAGGUGUUAUGAGGCAGACUAGUGUAAGUGCCAACCUGCAGCACCGUGGGCAGAGAGAGAGAGACAGAGAGAGAGAGAGAGAGUGAGAGAGAGAGAGAGAGAGAGAGAGAGAGAGAGAGAGACAUUAACAUCCUAUCUCCACCACUUUUUUCAGACUCAUGGAGCUGCUGUCCAAAUACCUCCUGUGUUCUCAUCAUUCAUAUGUUCUAGUCCAGCAGAUAAUCUCCAGUGAGUGGUGGAAAAUGAUGUUAGUUUUCAUGGUUGUAUUGAUUAUGAAUACUGAAUGAUGAACAUGAUGGUACAGAGACAGUUCUGACACUGUGUAGAAAAUGAUCCAGUUCUAUUUUCACCAUCAAUGCUGUCAACACCCUCAUUUACAACAGAUUCAUCAUUUCCAACCUGAAAACCAGCAGGAAGAAGCUGCAGACACCUUCUUCAAACUCAAGUUCACCACAACUGACUGAGAUGUUGAUCUGGACUGAUACCAUCAUCAGAAGACCUCUGUGUGUCCUCAGAUAUGGUCGCUGAUUUGUCCUCAAAGUUCCACUUUAUUCAUUACAGACACGAUUCAAAACAAAGAGGUCCUCCACAAUCAGGACAAGUUCUCAGGGGUCCACAGGUAGACCUCAUCCUGGGCUAACAGGACUUUAGACACCAGGAUCAUGUUUUUGCUAAAGAAACCCCCUCCCUGAUAUUUGAUUUCUAUUUGAAGAAGAACAUCAUCAGUAACGUGGACAUUAGAAGAACUACAGGGAUCAUUUACACUUUUCUGAGAAUAAAACCUGGACUCACACAGCCUUUCUGCAGUUCCUCACAGCUGGGAUCAGUCUCAGUCGUCCCUGGUCUGAUGUUUUAUAAUUCUUUAAGUCCAACUCCUCCAGAACCUCCUCUGACAUCUGUAGCAUGUAGGCCAGAGCAGAGCAGUGGAUCUCUGAGAGUUCCUUCUCUGAUCUGUUCUUUGACUUCAGGAACUCUUGAAUCUCCUGAUGAACUGACAGAUCGUUCAUCUCCAUCAGACAGUGGAAGAUGUUGAUGCUUCUGUCAGGAGAGAUAUCUUCACUGUUCAUCUCCUUCAGAUUGUUGAUGACUGUUUGGAUCAUUUCUGGACUGUUGUCUGUGUGACCCAGCAGAACUCCUAAGAGUCUCUGGUUUGACUCCACAGAGAGUCCAUGAAGGAAGCGAACAAACAGGUCCAGGUGACCGUUUUUACUGACAAGGGAUUUCAUCAUGACACUCUUCAGGAAGACAUCCUGAGAUGAGAAAAAAUAAUCCAGGUUUUGAAAAAAUCUGUCAACCAUCUCUGAAGAAGACAUUUUAUCUUCAUCAUCGUUGCUUCUUAGGAAAGUCUUCAGAGCUUCUGUGUUCCUGUUUGUGAAACUGUGGAUCAUGUAGACUGCAGACAGAAACUCCUGAACGCUCAGAUGAACAAAACAGUAAACAGUUUUCUGGAAGAUCACACUCUCUCUUCUGAAGAUCUCUGUACAAACUCCUGAGUACACCGAGGCCUCUGAGACAUCCAGACCACACCGCUCCAGGUCUUCUUGGUAGAACAUGAUGUUUCCUCUGUUCAGAUGUUCCAAUGCCAGCCUCCCCAGCUUCAGGAGGACGUCACUGUCAGCAUCCAUCAGUGCCUGAGGACUUGUCUCAUGUCCUCCUCCAUACUUCUGCUUCUUCCUCUUAGUCUGGACCAGCAGGAAGUGUGAGUACAUGUCAGUCAGGGUCUUGGGCAGCUCUCCUCUCUGCUCUCUGAUCAUCAUGUCCUCCAGAACUGUCGCAGUGAUCCAGCAGAAGACCGGGAUCUGACACAUGAUGUGGAGGCUCCUGGAGGACUUGAUGUGUGAGAUGAUUCUUCUGGACAGAUCUUCAUCUGUGAACCUCUUCCUGAAGUACUCGUCCUUCUGGGUGUCAUUGAAGCCUCGUACUUCUGUUAUCCUGUCCACACGUGAAGGAGGGAUCUGAUUGGCUGCUGCAGGUCGAGAAGUUAUCCAGAUGAGAGCUGAGGGGAGCAGGUUCCCCUUGAUGAGGUUUGUUAACAGAACGUUGAGUGAAGACUUCUGUGUGACGUCAGACACCACCUCAGAGUCUGUGAAAUCCAGAGACAGUCUGCUUUCAUCCAGACCGUCAAAGAUGAACAGAAGUUUACAGACAGCCAGCGUCUCUGCUGUGACCUUCUCUAGUGUUGGAUGGAAAACAUGGAGCAGACUCAGAAGACUGAAGCGCUCUUCUCUGAUCAGGUUCAGCUCCCUGAAUGAAAGCAGGACCACCAGAUGGAGGUCUUUGUUCUCCAAACCCUCUGCCCAGUCCAGAGUGAACUUCUGCACUGAGAAGGUUUUUCCAACACCAGCCACGCCGUUGGUCAGAACCACUCUGAUGAGCUUCUUCUGUUGGUCAGGUAAGGUUUUAAAGAUCUCAUGACACUUGAUGGGCAUGUCAUGGAGGGUCUUCAUCUUUGAAGUUUUCUCCAGCUGUCUCACCUCAUGUUGGGUGUUCACCUCUUCACUCAGUCCCUCUGUGAUGUAGAGCUCAGUGAAGAUCCUGUUGAGGAGGGUUUGACUACUUCCUGUUUCAUCACUUCCUUCAUUCACACGUUCACAUCUCCUCUUCAGACUGAUCUUAUGUUCAUCUAAAACCUCCUGCGGGAGGCCAUCUU